rnacentral:rRNA from 1 species
CCUAGGGGUGGCAGCAGUGGGGAAUAUUGGACAAUGGGCGAAAGCCUGAUCCAGCCAUGCCGCGUGUGUGAAGAAGGCCUUCGGGUUGUAAAGCACUUUCAGUGGGGAAGAAAGCCUUGGGGCGAAUACCCUCGAGGAAGGACAUCACCCACAGAAGAAGCACCGGCUAACUCCGUGCCAGCAGCCGCGGUAAUACGGAGGGUGCGAGCGUUAAUCGGAAUUACUGGGCGUAAAGCGCGCGUAGGCGGUCUGAUAAGCCGGUUGUGAAAGCCCCGGGCUCAACCUGGGAACGGCAUCCGGAACUAUCAGGCUAGAGUGCAGGAGAGGAAGGUAGAAUUCCCGGUGUAGCGGUGAAAUGCGUAGAGAUCGGGAGGAAUACCAGUGGCGAAGGCGGUCUUCUGGACUGACACUGACGCUGAGGUGCGAAAGCGUGGGUAGCAAACAGGAUUAGAUACCCCAGUAGUC